rnacentral:lncRNA from 1 species
UGGGUAUUUUUUAUACAAUUCUUUCUAAUUUCGUUUUUUGUUUUUUUGACGUUUUCCAUAGUAAAACUGAUCAGUGGAAACAGGCAAAGUAGAAAUCAAUUCAGCCCGGUUCUCAUAGAUGGAAAGAUGUGGAAAAAGUUACCGCAAAGCAGACUGUCUUGCUGUGCUUGUCAUUGUGCACAGGGCAAUGCCGGCACAUCUGACGUCAGCGAUCACACCUCUCAUGAUGUGACCUCGGUGGAAGGAAGGGCUGCUGGAUGACCUUCUAAGAAGCCUUCUCUGGUAGCCUGAGUUGUACCAGUGGGCUACUCACUAGUGGCAAGUUGCUUAAUUUCUCUGAGCCUUAGGAGUCUGCAUUGCUGAAAUGAUUAUCUACCUUGCAGGUCCGUCGUGGAGAUUAAGUGAGAUGAUGCUUGUAAAGUUACCUGGCCCAUAACAGGUACUCAACAAAUGGCAAUAAUUGUGAUGUGCUUCGUCCCCUGCAGGGGCUACAGAGCAGGUGAAUGAGAGAGUCCAUCCUGCAAGAAACUGCAGACCAGCCCGUGACUACCUGCUUUUGGCUUCACUUGCCCUGUAGUGAGCUGAAGCAGAUUUUCACAAAUGUGAAUGGAAAAUUUCUAGAUGUUUUUAGAUCCUGACACCAUUAUGUCAUCCAAGUCCUCAGUUAGCAUUUGAAUAGCUCAUCCUGAAGGCCCAGAGGGCAUCAGCACAGAGCCUUUCCAGAUACAACUUUUUUAUACUUCAU